rnacentral:rRNA from 1 species
AGUGAACGCUGGCGGUAGGCCUAACACAUGCAAGUCGAACGGCAGCACAGUAAGAGCUUGCUCUUACGGGUGGCGAGUGGCGGACGGGUGAGGAAUACAUCGGAAUCUACUUUUUCGUGGGGGAUAACGUAGGGAAACUUACGCUAAUACCGCAUACGACCUACGGGUGAAAGCAGUGGAUCUUCGCACCUUGCGCGAUUGAAUGAGCCGAUGUCGGAUUAGCUAGUUGGCGGGGUAAAGGCCCACCAAGUCGACGAUCCGUAGCUGGUCUGAGAGGAUGAUCGGCCACACUGGAACUGAGACACGGUCCAGGCGACUACGGGAGGGAGCAGAGGGGAAUAUUGGACAGUGGGCGCAAGCAUGAUACAGUCAUCCCGCGUGGGUGAAGAAGGCCUUCGGGUUGUAAAGCCCGUUUGUUGGGAAAGAAAAGCAGCAGGUUGAUACCCCGCUGUUCUGACGGUACCCAAAGAAUAAGCACCGGCUAACUUCGUG